rnacentral:rRNA from 1 species
CACGAACCGUACGAACGUUACUCGGAAUCACUGGGCGUAAAGCGUGCGUAGGCGGUUCGUUAAGUCUGCUGUGAAAGCCCUGGGCUCAACCUGGGAACUGCAGUGGAUACUGGCGGGCUAGAGUGUGAUAGAGGAUGGUGGUAUUCCCGGUGUAGCGGUGAAAUGCGUAGAGAUCGGGAGGAACACCAGUGGCGAAGGCGGCCAUCUGGAUCAACACUGACGCUGAGGCACGAAAGCGUGGGGAGCAAACAGG